AUUGAACGCUGGCGGCAUGCCUUACACAUGCAAGUCGAACGGCAACACGUUUACGGCUUCUGCCGAGUGGCGGACGGUGGCGUAAUAGAUCGGAAUGUGUCCGGACGUAGUUUUUAACGGGGCAAAAGCUUGGCUAAUACACCCUACUACCUAAUACGGAAUGCAGGGGACCGCAAGGCAUCUUCGGAUUGUGGCGGCCUGUAUGAGCCGAUGUCGGAUUAGGUAGUUGGUGGGGUAAAGGCGUACCAAGGCGACGAUCCGUAGCUGGUCUGAGAGGAGGAUCAGCCACACUGGAACUGAGACACGGCCCAGACUCCUACGGGAGGCAGCAGUGGGGAAUUUUGGACAAUGGGCGAAAGCCUGAUCCAGCAAUGCCGCGUGCGGGAUGAAGGCCUUCGGGUUGUAAAGUGCUUUUGUACGGAAAGAAAAGCAGCUGGCUAAUACCUGGCGGACAUGACGGUACCGAAAGAAUAAGCACCGGCUAACUACGUG
rnacentral:rRNA from 1 species